UUACUUGCAUAAGGAUAUUCAUAGAUCUGGAGCAGGACGUCCAUCAGGAAUGUGUCUCUCUUUGACCAGCAGAUCGAUGACGUCAAUGAAAAGAAAAGUCAUUUCAGAGCUGGAACAAGAUCAUGCAUUUUGAUGAAAGAUUUCAGAUCUUUCACUUCUCCACAUCUACGAUCAGCGUGAUCCCACCCGCCCAAAAAUGACCUGCUCAUGAUUUCCAAAACUCUACCGUCACGUGCAUUUUGGCAAAAACAAGAGAAGUUUAGCGUAUAGGUGCUCCGGCUGUGAACGAUGAAGUAACUUGUGAUGUUGCAGAAAUGCGUGAAUGUUAAUGCGACGGUUCAUACUGACGUCACAUGGUGAAUUGGAUGUGCAUCGGAUUCAGGAUCCCCAAGUGGCCCGAAUCUGGACAAACACCGCUCUGUGACCAUAAAACUACAAGGAGGACAAGCAAAAGAAGCACUUCUGCCCAGGUGCUCAUGUGAAAUGAAUGUUUAUCAGCAAGACUGUUUAAGCGAUGGUGACCAGUGAUUUCUACAGGAGAUGCACUGUUGGAUGCGAGCUUGGCCCGAUGCCCGGACGCUCUUUACCACCCUGUAUGUGUGAUCGCAUUAGGAAACCGAAAACAAGACACUGAAAGCCAUCAUGCAGUGCUCGCAGCAGCCAUCUAAGCUUGAUAAAGAAAUGCCGCCUGCUCGGGGUACCUGGUAAUGGGCAGUAAAGGCUGACAGGUCAGACAUCAUGUGAUGGCCUAUUAUUAAAUGUUUGCGUCAUGAAGAACUGUGAAUUGCUCUGUUACAGUGGGCGGCUUUUUUAUGCUUUAGGUCCAUUGUAGCCCUUAAAGUCUGGACCGUUAAAAGAGCAUUUUGUCUUGAUAAGAGUGGGCUUUUUGUUAAAUUUAAUUUCGGUUCAAAGAAAAAAAACAAAACACUGUUCUUUUGCCCCGUUUGGAGCUUGACAUACUGGCUAUUAUGAACUGUCAUUGCACAGAAAAGAACAGUGCAGAUAUCCUAAUGCCAUUUACACCAAGGACGAUAACUAUAAAGAUGAUGUUUUGAAGAAACUGUAUGCAGUUUUAUAUAGGCUAUUUUUCCAACUUUUAUUGCAGUUUAGUGAGUGGAAUCCACUGUCGUUAAUAUAUAACUGUCAUAAUUAUAGUGCGUAGCUGUACAUGUGCAUUUGUUGCUGCUGUAAAGUGAUGGAAACUUUUCGAAGCUCUGAAUCAAUUGAGUCAAUUGUUUCGUAAAACGUUUCGAAGCAUUCAAAACACCACAGGUCAAGAACAAACAAGGUCAAGAAGCAGUUAUCAUUGUUAUUUUUGUAUUAUAUAUAUAUCAAAAUUAACCUACAUAAUAAAAGCCAUCUAGCAGCGAAUCAGAGUUUUGAAACCAAGGUUCGAUGUAACGAAGCCUCAUUUGCUGAAUUCACGUUACUUGGUGAGUUCGAUACAAGCUCUAAACCACUAAUUCGAAACAUAUGAUUCAUAAAUGUUUCGAAGCUUCACGAAGCAGUUUUUUGCGAAAGCACCGAUCACUAUCGCCCUUUUUGUGGAAUUUCGUAUCCGCGCACCAAACUUACUCUCAGAAAGGACUUUUGGAAAGAAAUAGAAGAUAUUCGCUGUAUUAGAAGUCAAUGUACCAUUAGAAUGAUUUUGAAA